GCGUAGAUAUCGGGAGGAACGCCGGUGGCGAAGGCGGCUCUCUGGGCCGUUCCUGACGCUGAGGCCCGAAAGCUGGGGGAGCGAAAGGGAUUAGAUACCCCUGUAGUCCCAGCCGUAAACGAUGGGCACUAGGUGUUCCCCCGCGAGGGGGAGUGCCGACGGGAAACCAUUAAGUGCCCCACCUGGGGAGUACGCCCGCAAGGGUGAAACUCAAAGGAAUUGACGGGGGCCCGCACAAGCGGUGGAGCGCGUGGUUUAAUUCGACGCUAAGCGAAGAACCUUACCUGGGCUUGACAUGCUGGUGGUACCCUGGUGGAAACACUGGGGGACUCCCUGUUGAGGGGAGAGCCAGCACAGGUGCUGCACGGCUGUCGUCAGCUCGUGCCGUGAGGUGUUGGAGCGCAACCCCUGCCCUUAGUUGCCACAGCAUCCAUGAGGUGGCUGGGCACUCUAAGGGGACUGCCGCCGAUGAGGCGGAGGAAGGUGGGGAUGACGUCAAGUCCGUGUGGCCUUUAUGUCCAGGGCUACACACGCGCUACAAUGGGUGGUACAAUGGGCUUUGCGACCCCGCGAGGGGAAGCGAAUCCCAGAAAACCACCCCCAGUUCGGAUUGGGGUCUGCAACCCGACCCCAUG
rnacentral:rRNA from 1 species